UUAUAGUGCCAAAAAUCACCUCGUGACCACAGUCAAAAUUCAACAAAAACAACGUUGUAGUGGUAUGCUGCAUCACAGACAACAGAAACUUAAUUCAGUUUUCAGACACUGCAAGCAUACAAGGGACGGAACCUUACGCAGAACCGAGUUAACUCUGGAAUGUAUUCCACUCACACACAAUCAGCUACGCUCUAACAGCAAUUUGUCCAACAAAAAGUAACGACAGAAUCACAGAUAAGGGAUUCCAUGGCCUCUCAAGCUUCAGAGAAGGGGAGCACCAAAUGCACCUUGAUCCACCAUGCUGAACACAGAAUCACUGAGGCCGCUCACUGUCAGUGAAGAACAGAAACAGCAGCAGAAAAUUGCACGUCAGAACACAUAAGCCUGCAUGACAAAGAUGCAUCAGAAUUUUGAGAAGUAGGCAAUUUACCUUGUCCUGGCCCUCUCCGGACGGAGCGGCCUCGCUACUCUGACCGACGAUGUAGAACAGCACNN
rnacentral:lncRNA from 1 species